CACUCACUCACACAGACACAACAGGUCACUCACUCACUCACACAGACACAACAGGUCACUCACUCACUCGCACAGAAUCAUUUAAUUUACCCAGCAACAACACUGUUAAUGGGGCGACAGUGGUACAGUGGUAGAGAAGUCGUUUAGUAAUCAGAAGGUUGCUAGUUCGAUUCCCUGUCGAAGUGUCCUUGAGCAAGACACUGAACCCCUAAUUGCUCCUGACGUGCAGUGUGCCAUCAGUGUAAAUGUAAAAUGUGUAUACAUUGUAAGUCGCACAUAUGUAAGUCGCUUUGGAUAAAAGCGUCUGCUAAAUGUAAAUGUUAGAAAGUCAUGCUAACAACAAAUCCCUGUCUGCCAAGUGAGAGUCACACUUACAGCCUGAGCCUUACAUAUGUGCGACUUUCCAAAACCUUGUGCAUUAGAACCUCAACCUUAACAGAUCACAGGAGAUGCCUUUUCACAUUUAGAGGAGAUCAUGAAGGCUGCAGGUGGAAAAUGCGGGUGAACCAAAAAUGUGAAACAGCUCCCGUGGUGACUACUCAAAUCAAUGGACAUGAUAUUAUUAGCACAGUUUUCUACCAGUUAGCUCGUUGUUCUACCAGCUGAAUGACAGGAAUACUACACUGAACACUGAAAAAAGCUAUUUGUCAGCCAUUAAGGGGGUUUACAUUGCUGCUGCACUAGGGUUUGUGGUGUGUAAGAGUGGGUGAGCCGCUGACACCACAGUGACGCCUGCAUUGUUCACGUCGGCAAUGCAGACUUUGGACCAGAGUGUCUCCACCAUGGAGCCGGGGACUCACAUUGCUGGUGUUGGCGGGGUGAUGAUGAUGGUGAUGAGGCUCAUCACAAGGCCCGUCGCAGGACUGCAGGUGGCUCCAGGUGUGCUCACGGAAGCGCGGCUCAAUGGGCACCACGUGGCCCUCAGUGGUGAAGAUGUAGCGGCUCUCGGAGUCGUGCAGCGGGUUGUCCUCGUCAAAGAGCUGAACAACAGGGGCCACAGAACCGAAAACUCAUUCACAGCUGACACAUCCACAUGUACACAUCAGUCAUUCAUUCAUUCAUUCAUUCAUUCAUUCACAGCCUGACACAUCCACAUGUACACAUCAGUCAUUCAUUCAUUCAUUCAUUCA
ensembl:lncRNA